rnacentral:rRNA from 1 species
UACAGAGGUCUCAAGCGUUGUUCGGAUUCAUUGGGCGUAAAGGGUGCGUAGGCGGCGCGGUAAGUCGGGUGUGAAAUCUCGGAGCUUAACUCCGAAACUGCAUUCGAUACUGCCGUGCUUGAGGACUGGAGAGGAGACUGGAAUUUACGGUGUAGCGGUGAAAUGCGUAGAUAUCGUAAGGAAGACCAGUGGCGAAGGCAGCUCGCUGGGACGGUACUGACGCUGAGGCGCGAAAGCGUGGGGAGCAAACAGG